rnacentral:rRNA from 1 species
GUGGGGAAUAUUGGGCAAUGGGCGAAAGCCUGACCCAGCAACGCCGCGUGAAGGAAGAAGGUUUUCGGAUCGUAAACUUCUAUCCUUGGUGAAGAUAAUGACGGUAGCCAAGAAGGAAGCCCCGGCUAACUACGUGCCAGCAGCCGCGGUAAUACGUAGGGGGCAAGCGUUGUCCGGAAUGAUUGGGCGUAAAGGGCGCGUAGGCGGCCCGGUAAGUCUGAAGUGAAAGUCCUGCUUUUAAGGUGGGAAUUGCUUUGGAUACUGUCGGGCUUGAGUGCAGGAGAGGUAAGCGGAAUUCCCGGUGUAGCGGUGAAAUGCGUAGAGAUCGGGAGGAACACCAGUGGCGAAGGCGGCUUACUGGGCACUAACUGACGCUGAGGCACGAAAGCAUGGGGAGCAAACAGGAUUAGAUACCCGGGUAGUCC